rnacentral:rRNA from 1 species
UACGUAGGGGGCAAGCGUUGUCCGGAAUCAUUGGGCGUAAAGCGCGUGUAGGCGGCUCGAUAAGUCUGCUGUGAAAGUCCAAGGCUCAACCUUGGGAUGCCGGUGGAUACUGUCGAGCUCGAGUCCGGAAGAGGCGAGUGGAAUUCCUGGUGUAGCGGUGAAAUGCGCAGAUAUCAGGAGGAACACCAAUGGCGAAGGCAGCUCGCUGGGACGUGACUGACGCUGAGACGCGAAAGCGUGGGGAGCAAACAGG